rnacentral:rRNA from 1 species
UUAUCGUUUAUUUGAUAGUACCUUACUACAUGGAUAACCGUGGUAAUUCUAGAGCUAAUACAUGCUAAAAAUCCCGACUUCGGAAGGGAUGUAUUUAUUAGAUUAAAAACCAAUGCCCUUCGGGGCUCCUUGGUGAUUCAUAAUAACUUCUCGAAUCGCACGGCCUUGCGCCGGCGAUGGUUCAUUCAAAUUUCUGCCCUAUCAACUUUCGACGGCUGGGUCUUGGCCAGCCAUGGUGACAACGGGUAACGGAGGGUUAGGGCUCGACCCCGGAGAAGGAGCCUGAGAAACGGCUACUACAUCCAAGGAAGGCAGCAGGCGCGCAAAUUACCCAAUCCCGACUCGGGGAGGUAGUGACAAUAAAUACUGAUACAGGGCUCUUUUGGGUCUUGUAAUUGGAAUGAGUACAAUUUAAAUCCCUUAACGAGGAACAAUUGGAGGGCAAGUCUGGUGCCAGCAGCCGCGGUAAUUCCAGCUCCAAUAGCGUAUAUUAAAGUUGUUGAGGUUAAAAAGCUCGUAGUUGAACCUUGGGCCUAGCCGGCCGGUCCGCCUCACCGCGUGCACUGGCUCGGCUGGGCCUUUCCUUCUGGAGAACCGCAUGCCCUUUACUGGGUGUGCUGGGGAACCAGGACUUUUACUCUGAACAAAUUAGAUCGCUUAAAGAAGGCCUAUGCUCGAAUACAUUAGCAUGGAAUAAUAGAAUAGGACGUGUGGUUCUAUUUUGUUGGUUUCUAGGACCGCCGUAAUGAUUAAUAGGGACAGUCGGGGGCAUCAGUAUUCAAUUGUCAGAGGUGAAAUUCUUGGAUUUAUUGAAGACUAACUACUGCGAAAGCAUUUGCCAAGGAUGUUUU